GAUGAACGCUGGCGGCGUGCUUAACACAUGCAAGUCGAACGAUGAAGCCCAGCUUGCUGGGUGGAUUAGUGGCGAACGGGUGAGUAACACGUGAGUAACCUGCCCUUGACUCUAGGAUAAGCCCGGGAAACUGGGUCUAAUACUGGAUAGGAACGUCUACCGCAUGGCGGGUGUUGGAAAGAAUUUCGGUCAUGGAUGGACUCGCGGCCUAUCAGCUUGUUGGUGAGGUAAUGGCUCACCAAGGCGACGACGGGUAGCCGGCCUGAGAGGGUGACCGGCCACACUGGGACUGAGACACGGCCCAGACUCCUACGGGAGGCAGCAGUGGGGAAUAUUGCACAAUGGGCGAAAGCCUGAUGCAGCGACGCCGCGUGAGGGAUGACGGCCUUCGGGUUGUAAACCUCUUUCAGUAGGGAAGAAGCGAAAGUGACGGUACCUGCAGAAGAAGCACCGGCUAACUACGUG
rnacentral:rRNA from 1 species